AUCCGGUUGAGGAGUCCCAAAUAGAACGAAACGCGCAUCCUGUAU
rfam:Schistosoma haematobium scaffold11_21, whole genome shotgun sequence.